rnacentral:tRNA from 1 species
UUACAAUUUAGUAUAGAAUGUACAUAAGUUUUUGAUACUUAAGGGGGUAGAAUUGAUCUAUUAGUUGUA